rnacentral:ncRNA from 1 species
UAGGUUUCGCAUAGAUAUGACCUUUAUUGAUCUGUGGAUGAGAAAUAGAAGAAGAGAGAUAUUUCCCUGUGGAAUGGUGAUGUUUGUGAGUCUAGAGAUAAAUACAUUUGAUGGAAAGUUUCUUGUGUGUCGAAUUUUUUUAGUACUUGGGCCCUUGAAAAUGUUAUCGGUCGAUAACUAGAAUUGAGCAUCAGAGGUACAAGGAUGAGAUUAGAGCCACGAAAUUUGUGGGUUGAAAAAAAUAUCAAGGAAUGACAUUUCAACUAUUUUUAGUAGCAAGAGAAGAGACAUUACCGAUUUUGGCAACAUCUCCACGGGUUUGGCUGAAUAGGGCUCCUAUGCCUCUGUCGAUGUCCAAAUAGGGCUCCUCUCCCUAAUCUUUUGUCGAUGGACGGAUAGGGACCCUUUUCUCCUCUACCUCUGUCGAUGGACAGAUAGGGCUCCUUUGCGCCUCUACCUAUGCCUCUAUCGAUGGACGAAUAGGGAUCCUCUGCCUCUGCCAAUGGCCUAAUAGGGCUCCUAAUUUUCUACUCUUCCUCUGUCGGACAAGGUUUUUCUCUCUGAACCUGUCGAAUUAGGGUGAUCUAAUUGAAGGCUGUGGGUUUUUUCUCCAUUUCCUCUGUCCAUUGAUGGGGUUAUGCUCAACUACUAGAUCGGGAACUGGCGCAGGCAGGUGAUCAUUACAAAAAAAAAUUGUAAUGAAUGGGCAAGGGAAAUCUGACUGGUUAAUUAAAACAAAGCAUUGUGAUGGUCCCUGCGGAUGCUAACACAAUGUGAUUUAUGCCCAGUGCUCUGCAUUUCAAAGUGAAUAAAUUCAACCAAUCAUGGGUAAACGAUGGGAGUAACUAUGACUCUCUUAAAGUAGUCAUAUGCCUUUGUUUCAUCUAAUUAGUAAUGUGCAUUAAAGGAUUAACAAGAUUCCCACUGUCCCAAGCUACUAUCUAGAGAAACCACAACCAAGGGAACGAGCUUGGCAGAAUUAGAGGGGAAAGAAGACCCUGUUGAUCUUGACUCUAGUCUGACUUUGUAAAAUGACUUGAGAGGUGUAGAAUAGUGGGAGUUGUUUUCAGUUCAAGUGAAAUACCACUACUUUUAAUGUUAUUUUACUUAUUUUGUGGGGCAGAGAAGAGGUCGCAUUGCACAUAUGCUAAAAUAUAAUGCACAUUUCCUCAAAGUGUUAUCAUUGAUUCCAAUGGUCGAAAGAUCAUUCUUCACACACUUGAUGGCAAUGAUUUUAGGAAACCAAAGAGGAUCAUUUAUUUUAAGGAUGAAGAAAAUUCCUAGAACCCCUAUGUUUUUAGCCAACAUCCCCCUAUAAGUAUCUAUGUUAUGGUUCCUCCUUGUAAAUUGGUGGCUUGAGUCCUCAUAGACUUAGAGAGUGGGUGGCUUAUGAUGCCAAAUUAUUUGGCCCUUGAUAUCAUUUCAUUUUGCAUGCUCAAUUUAUAGAAACAAUAGAGCCAUGAAUUCCUAGUGAUUGCCAAGCAUUGCAAUAUAUAACCAUGCAAGAACAAUUCCAUGGGUAUUACCAUAAUCAAUUCAUCUUUGCAAACCACGU